rnacentral:rRNA from 1 species
GACAUAGGUGGCGAACGUUAUCCGGAUUUAUUGGGCGUAAAGGGUGCGUAGAUGGUGGAAUAAGUUAUUGGUCAAAGUCAAGCUCAACUUGGCGGAAGCUGGUAAUACUAUUCUACUUGAGGAUAGGAGAGGUUGGCGGAAUUCUGUGUGGAGCGGUGAAAUGCGGUGAUCUACAGAGGAACACCAAAAAAGGCGAAGGCAGCCAACUAGGCUAUUCCUGACAUUGAGGCAUGAAAGCGUGGGGAGCAAACCGG